rnacentral:lncRNA from 1 species
AUAACUCCAUUAUCUUCAUUCUUAAAAUGAACGGCUAAACCUCUUCUCUAGCUCAAAAUCCUAAAUUAAUACAUCACUGAUCAAAAACAAAAAAUCACCAUAGAAAGGAAAGAGAAACCUAAAUUUAUUCAACAUUCCUAAGCACAACGAUCGUAUUCCAUACAGUAAGGCCACUCGAGUCCGCUGAUCCCGUUGAGGUAAGGAGGCCGUUGAGGGAAUAAGGACAACCAGGCUGCAGGUCACUGGAGAGGAUCAAAAGGCAAAGGAACAAGAAUAACUUGGGUAAUAAUUCUCAAUUCUUAUCUAUUGGUGGGAGUUUGUUGAUGAUUAAUGAUGAGGAGAUUUAUGGAGGAAGAGCUAAUUUCUUGAAGUGAAAUAUUUUAAUGAAUAACGAUAUCUUAUUAGGAAGUUCUAAGGAACAUAUGAUAAACUCAACAACAAGGAUAACAUAUAAUGAUUAUAAAAUGAUAAUAGAUUUCAAUCUAGGAUCAUUUAAACAAAGCUCUUAUCUUUUAAAUAAAGACGAACUUGUUAGAACAGAAGAACUACAAGCAAUAUAUAAGCUUGAAUUACCAAAGGAAAUAAAAAGAAAAAUUAUAAACCAUAUAGAAAUAGACACUUUAAAGCAUAACAUAAUUAUGUUAACUGUAGAACAAGGAAUUGACAUAGCCAUAGCAUAUGUAGAACAUGGAAGUAGAGAAAUCGGACCAUCAUACAUAAAUUACUUAGAAAAUUCAGAUAAUAAAGAACUUGAACUAUAAAAUAUAUAAGGAUUAUAAGGUAUAUAGGCGAGCAACCCAUGACGUAAAUUGGAUAGACGAUCCCGACUAGGCGUUAGUAUCCUCUGUACUUUGGGAUAACAAGCCACGUACCUAUAAUCAAUAGAACCCGUAAUCAUGGAAACUUAUAAUGAAAUUAGAUAUUACACUAGUAUAAUAAACAAUAAUAUAUAUUUUAUAAAAGUGGAAAUAUUCUAUUCAGAAGAUGUAACAGGAAGUUUAAAUCAAAUUCUUAAUCCUACAUAUAUUUUAGAAACUAAUAAUAGUUAUUAUGAUUGUUAUGUUCCUACUCUUCCUAAUACUAUCCCUAGAAUAAUUGAUGGAGAACAAGUUAUAGCCAUAUUUCCAGGAUAUGAUAGAUAUAUACUAUAAAUAGUUUUUACAUACAUAUACCGUGUAGUAAUACUCAGUAGUAAUACUCAGUCAUUUUAGUUUUUAAUUUUCAGUCUAUUCAGUUUAAUUUUAUAUUCAGUUUAAUUUUAUAUUCAUUGAAACAAGAUGGUAUCAGAGCCAUAACCAGAAUCAUAACUCUUAUGAAUUAAAAUUUUGAUAAUAUUAUAAAAUUAAUUAAUGGAUCCGAUACAAACAAUAGUUAACAGCUUAUAUACUUUAAAAGUAUAGAAGAAAGAAGAAAUAAAAAGUCUCAUAAUGGCUUUAAAAACUGAUAAAAAUAAUAUAAGAAACAUAGAACUCGAAUUAACAGAAGAACUUAGAGAAAGGCAUAUAGACACAACAGGAGGAGAAAUAUUAAUAGAAAAGAAAAUAAAGUUUAUAGAUGAAUUUAUAAAAUUUCUAAUAUACUGGUAUAAGAAGGAAGCAUUAUGAAUCAUAAUCAACAUGCAUUUAAUAUAAUACAUGAAUUAGUAGGUAGUAUAGAUCAUAUGAUUUUAGGAUGGGAAAACAUAUUAAAUACAUACAUAAAUCUAAUAAAUCAGAAAAUAGAAUUACUAGAACAAGAAAGGAUAGGAAUAAUAAAUUUAGGACCAGAAAUCUACUCUGAAAUUAUAGAUUUAUAUGAAUUUGAUAACCAUUUGAUGUUAUUUUAAGAAAUAAACAAAACCUUAGAAAGAAUGAGAAAUAGGUGUAGAAGGGAAGGAAGAAGGCAAAUACAUCCACAAUUGUAAAAGAUAAAAAAUAAAAGGACCCAAAAGAAAUUAGUCAAAGAAGAAAAAGACAAAAAACGUAAGAUACAUUGAUCGUAACUUAGGCACUCCCUUUUAAUAUUUAAGCUUAAUGGUCAAUAAUCGGCCCACUAUUGGUAGUACCACUAUUGGUAGUAGAAUUUUUAUUCCAACACUAUACAAUUUUCGUGUGAGGUGGUCUUGGGCUUAUCUCAACCUCAAAAGUCAAAAGCCAGCUCAAUAAGUGAGAUUUUUUUCUCACACUUAUGAAAUCACCACGAGCUCCUCCCCCAACCAAUGUGGGAUAAUCCCAACAAUCUCCCCUCACUCAUCGGGUCGUGGGUUGGAAGCAUAAGCAUCCAUUCUCCCUAUUAGAUUGUUGGUUGAGUUGUUGGUGAACCUAAGCUUUGAUACUAAUGUUAGAUGGUCUUGGGCUUCUCUCGACUUCAAAAGCUAGCUCAAAGAGAGAGAUAUUCCCUCACAUUUAUGAGGUCAUUAUCAGCCUCUUCCACAAUCGAUGUCGGCUAACCCGACAUUUCUCUCUCUAUAUAAUACAUAAGUUGGAUAAUAAAUUUAUAUCUCAAUCUAGGUAUAAACAUUAAUUUUAUUUCUUUUUAUCAAUCAUUAUUCUAUUGGGUCUAUCGACUCACCGUACAAAAUGUUGUAAAACUUCCCCGCCGAAGAGACUUUGGUAGCUUUGAGUUUGUAAAUCAAGUUCCUAUCCGUCGUCCCUCCUAAUCCAUUCUUCGGCGAAGUACGCCUGACAUUCUUGUACCUUACAACGUCAUAUUUGGCACAAAAUUCAUGAAAUUUAAACCAAACACUAAACUAUUAUUAGUUCUCAACAUUUUAUAUCAUUCGACGUUUUGUGUCAGAAUAAAUAUUUUUAUCUUUGAACGUCUCAAGCACUUAUUCAUGGCUUAUUUCUCAACUCACUAUAGAUUAAUGAUGCUGAUGAAAUUGUGGAUUAACCAGACAAUAUUGUAAUUAUUACACAUACACACAAGCACACGUACAUACGUACAAAAGCAUAUAGGAGUUGACCUUGCUCAGGAUUUUAAAAAAAUGAAUAAAAUUUUCCAAUAAUUAAUUGAGAUAAAAAAGAUCAUUAAAACCCGAGUACCCCUCGCAAUUGUUUCACAUGAAUUUCUGUAUUUAUGCACAUAUAAUAUUUUGAAUGAAUCUAUAAUGAUGUUAAUUUUUUAAUGAGCUUAAUCUUAAAUUAAAAUUUUCUUUUGAAAAAAAAUGAAGAAAUCUUAAAAUAUUAUAAAAUAUAGAUCAGUUGGAAAACUAUUCCUAGAAAUGCAUCUUAGUUUUACUCUUGGAAAAUGUUUCCUUUCGUACUUGCGAGGAAUUAGAAAUUGAACAAUAAUUUUUAGACUUUUCAUUGUCUUUGUGGUUAUAUGGUUGUCUUUAAUAUAAAUAUAUGAUCCCGGAGGCCAAAUGUCUAAUUCACAUGCAUUUACCUAAUACUUUUUUUCUUUUUUCUUUGUUUUUGGGAUAGGGCAAUUACCUAAUACCUUGAAGAAAGAGAGAUAAAAUAUAAUUCAUGCCAAUUUGUUGCAACAAAGCUUUCAUAUCAAGCGUUGGCAUAAAUUAUUAUGCCAAUUUGUUCAAGACAAUAUCUUUAGUUGGCAUGUAAUUUUCAUUAGCCGGCGUCUACUCUUAAUUUAUGUCAAAUUAAGUAAUCGCUCGGCCCCAAUAAUGUUGCCUUUGAUAUCUCAGCCCCAGUAAAAGAAUUGGCUGAAAGAGAAUGUUGGUCACUGUUUGAGCAAGUAUGCUUUUGGCGGUCCUUUGAGGAUCUUCAAAAUUUAGAACCAAUCAAAAAUAAAAAAUUUCAUACUAGUGUAAAGGCUUGCCUCUUAAUGCAAAG